GGCACAGGGCACGGAGGCGUCGAGCGGGGCGAAGGCGGUGCUCGGUGGCCGCUCAGGGACAAGCCUCGCGCACACAGGUGGCAGGAGCUGCUGUGGGUGUGGUACGGCGCUGAGGAUCAGCCCAUCAAAAGUACUGCCGUAUGCCUUCUUUGCAAGAGCAAGCAGAAUGGAAGACUGGACUAGAAAUGAGAGCUCUCCAAGCACAUUUGAGCCACGACAUGAACUUUACCACAUACUCAAUGUAGGACCGUGAAAACGUGUGGAAGAUGGAAGUGACUGGAAAUGCCAUGAGGAGGAUGCCACUCAGGAUGCUGCUCAGUGCCACCACUUGGCCGGGAAUGCUCCUGGGAACCAUAUCUCCGUAGCCUACCGUGGUCAUGGUGAUGACAGCCCACCAGUAGCACGCGGGGAUGCUGGUAAACUCCUGCGAGUCCGCCAUCUCGUUCUCGAUGACAUACAGGAGCGGUGCAAACAGUGCAAUGGCCACACAGAGGAAGAGCAGCAGGAGACCAAACUCCCGGGUGCACCUGCGAGCAGUCAGCCCCAGCGUCUGCAGCCCUAGGGAGUGUCUGGCCAGCCGCAUGACAUAAAGAAUCCUCAAGGCACGGAGUAUACGGAGGACCAGACCUACUUUGUCCAGAUACCUCCUUUUACAACACCAGUCCAAGUUGUCUUCCUCAAUUCCCCAGUAGAGCAGCUCCUCUUGGAAAGACAACGCACACAUCUCCCGCAGGAGCCGAAGUUUUCCAACCCGCAAAAAGGUCAGGAUUGUCCUGAAUGCUCCUGGGUUGCGGUCGAAAAAGAAUUCAUUACAUGUCACAUCGUAAUCAUCACAGAUGUUUAGAAUGUCAUCAAAAUUGUUGCAGAAUUUUAGUUGUCCCAAACGUGUCAAUGGGAAUUCAUCAAGCGUGGUCCAUGGGAGCAAAUACUUAAUGCCCCCUACGUUAUAAUAAUAUGAUGCUUCCGAUCAUCAGGGUGAAACCCUUUCAGGAGAUCCUCUUCAGGGUGAAUUAGCUUGGCUCUUUGGUAAAAGACUCCCUUAAGGGUUUCUGUUUCUGGAAAGAAUGUGUGGUUGAAGGAAGUAUCUGAAGCACAGCUCAGGGCACUAUAGUCAUAAUCAGAAUUUUCUCCAGGUAGAAGAGUCAUCUUGGAAGAUAACUUCACAUCACAUCACUUCGCUACUUCUGCAAGUGUCUUCUGGAACGAAAAACAGAUAUACGGGUUUAGUGAGUGAGGCGUUGUUUUCGAGUUUGGAACAAAUGUAGUGACUGAGGCUCAGAAACGUUUAUGGUUGAUAAAAUAAUUGGAAAGAAAUCAGCAGUGGCUGAGUAUGGUCAGAAAAGCUUUCUGGUGAGGCUCUUUUUGCCCAGUCAGGUAGAACUGACUCUAUUUACUGACACUGGUGAACUUUUGUCUCAAAUGCUGAGGUUUCAGUUCCCAGUGGGUACAGAGGGAAACCAGGAAUAAUUCCUGCAUGUGGCAGGAUAUUCCAGCUUCAGAAAGGAAGUGUCAAACUUAUGAUAGUAUCACGUAGGAACACAGAAUUCAAGUGUAUUUUUUAGAAAAGGAAAUUAUGUCUUUUUUAUUUAACAAUUACAUGUUAAAAUCUUUAUUAUUUUAGUUCCCAUUAAGUAUAUAGAAAAAUCAGAAGUCAAUUAUGCUGUAAUUAACUAAAUACUUCUGAAAAACAGUUAGCAUCAGACUAAUUUCUAAAAGGCCAUAUGGAAACAGCUUUGGAAAAAACACUUCUAUUGACAAUCACAUAAAGUCUUUGUAUAGAGUUUACACAUUUAAUGACAUGGCAACUCCCCUUUUACAGUCUCAUUCAUGAAAGAUUGUUAAGAAAUACUUGGUUUCUACACAAAAAUUGGAAUAUUAUUUCAAUUACAAUUGGCAACCUAUACACAGCAAUAGGUCUUUGUUCUAACAUUGAAUAGUAGCUGAGAACCAAGGUGAAUACCUUCAGCUGUGAUUCUAAGAAACCAAAAAAUUCUUAAGAUGACUUUGAAAAUCAGAUUAAAAUUCUGCUCACACAAAACUAGUAUGAAGUUGGUGGAAUGCACGGACCACAAAGUUCAAAUCAGUAUGAAAAACAGGUACUGGAAAUGUUAAAAGGUUUUGCCUCCCUAAUUCACUGCAAUUUAAAAGUCAGUCUGAAAGUCUGCUCUUGCUCGGGAGAAUUGUACAGUACUGCUUCUAGGUCUUCCAUCCCCACAGUCAGCUACAGCUUAAUGCACAAUGUUUAAUCGUUAAGCACAGAACUCUUAUUUUCAGAAGCUGGGGUUUGUAAACCACAUCAGUAACAUUACAUAACUGUUAUAGAAGAAAAACAAACAAACAUGAAUACACUACAGCUGCACUUCAGUUUAAGAGCAACAGGCUUUCUUUGCUGCAUGGGGGCUUAAAAUAAUAUUUUCAAUAAAACUGUCUCAGUCCUGCUCCCAAACUUCCCAAAAUUACUCUAAAUGAAGCAGUACCUUACAUACUCUUACAAACAGCUGAGCUUUGGAUGGAGUGAUAGUUUUUGAUUUUUUAAUGUGUAUACUCUUUAGUACAAAAAGAAAUCAUUCAUUUACUUACCUUUAGGGCCUGUGGUAGGACUGUGGAAAAAGAAAGCCUACGGGAAUAUACAAGAAUGGACAAGGCAUGAUUCAGACCUUUCAUGAGCUGUGGUACCAUUUUCUGGCCCUUUUGGCAGAGGUAAGCUUUGGCAUCUUGCUCCUAUCCCAAAGUGGGAUCUCUAUUGCUAUUGCUAGUGAUUUGAGAGCGGCUGUUUGGAGGGUUAACCCAUUCUCUGCUAAAAUCUUAACUAUGUUCAGCUUUCAGUACCUUAUCACUACAUACUUUCUUGUAUUGCUGAGUGGCUCUGUCUUUCCUCCAGAAUUAUGACUCUUGGGAAUCCCCAUGGCAGGCAAUGGGCAAUUCUAAAACUUCCAAAGGAGUUUUAGAAAAGGAGGAUGUAAUAAACUCAAGUAAACUUCUAGUUGAUUUCAGUUUAUGUCUUGUCUCAAGAAAGACUAAGUGAAGGCGUACUGAUCUGCAAGUCCUGUUUUCUGAAAGAACAUUAACACAAAAUGUAAUCAUACUAAAGAGUCUCUGUCUAGAGAACUCCAGCCAACACUGGGAUUAUCAGCGGAGCAUCACGACAAACAGUGGCACUCUGCCACUGCCCACUGCUAAAGCUGCAGGGCUCAGAUAAAUGAAUGGAUCUGAGGAGAAUGACAGCUGGCUCACAUAGUGCUAGCUAGAGCACGUUGAACAGUGCAAGUAAGGAGCAGUUGAGCUUGUAAUUACCCUGACUUACAGUCCUAUCCCAUGAAGCACUCCUAGUGACCUAAGAGCUGGUCUUCUAUUAAAGCAUGCCCAUCUGCAGAAAUACUGCCACUGUGAGCUCAAGCUGUAGGUGGGAAAACGGGGCUACCUGAGGUAUGGUUACGUAGGACCCUUCUCCUUAAGAGUAACUGUUUUUUUUUUAGAAACAAGUUUUUUCCCGUCUGCCUCAACUAUGUCUAAGGCUGGGCUUGCCUAAAGAGAAUAAAGAUUAUGAUUAAUGGAAGACUGUGGAAAAAUUGGGAGCUAAGUUAACCGCUUUCCCUUCUGUAAUACCAGAUGAUGUUGGUUAGCAACAAUUUAUCCUCUGAAUCUCAGCCAGGAAAAAUGAGGCAGCUCAUCUCUGUGACUGGUUUGAUCUCCCACCACAUCCAUUGUUGACACAAUGGAAAGAAAUGGGGAGAGGGAAAUGUAAAUGUUCGUGUGUGUCAGACACACGCUGUAACCCUGAGGCAUCAGCUGUGAAACAACAGAGCAAAGAAAAAAUAAUUUUUCUUCACUUCCAGCUUCUCGACCUGUGCGAGACAAUAAAUUGGACAAAUUAAUCCCUGUGUAACACACAGUGACUGCAGUUAUAAAAGGUGGUUCCUUCUAUUUCCAUAACCAGAAGUGGCAAGCCCACAGAUUCCAUGUAGGCAGCUUUGGUAUUUCAUGCUGUACAUGUGUUAUUACGUGAUUUUUUACCUCCGAUACACAAAGCUUCAUAUCUAAGAGGGAAGAAUAGGAGAAAAUAAGGGACAAUAGAAAAGAUGGUCUGAAUUGAAGGAAAAGAGAAAGGUGAAAAAUAAAGCCAUGCGCUUCUUUGCAUGUUUCUUCAUUGGAAGGCACCUCUACAGAAUGAUGAUCAGCACUACUUUAAGAAGGGAGCUAUCUGAAGAAUAGAAAGGGUUUUUUUGUUAGUGAGCUUGCAAAAAGAGCAACCUACUUUACUCGUGCAUUGCAGACUGAUGACAUUGGGGAUAGGUGUAAGAAAUGCAUUGAGGAGUGCGUUACUGGAAUAUAAAGUCAGAAAAACACAUUAGCCUACAGCAACCAUUUUCACAACACUUAAACAAGAUGAACUUCAAGGAUGUACUAUAACAGUAAAAUCCUCCUUCAGAUAAAACUGCUCUGGUUAAGUAGGGCCCAGUGAUAAAAUCCCUACACAUCUGAGAUAGCAUUCUGCCCUUUGAAUGCUUGGGAGUUUGUGGAGUCCAGUUCUUACCAGCACCCUCGCUCAUCAUGUGUGCUUGUUUUUGAUAAAUCACUUCUCUCUGAGCUUCUUUACUUUUGUUUGUAAGCUUACCAGGGCAAGAACUGACUCUUACCACAUUAUACAGUCCUGGUUGUAGUUCUGGCUUCUAGAAACCAUGGUAAUACAGAAUAACUGUCCCAUAGCAAGAGCUCUUGGUGACUCUAAAUGGUGUGUUGUGCAUAUGAAUCAAGAUGUAACAUCUUUUCAAAAAUCUCUCUUGCACAAGAUGAUAUUCUGAUCCAUUAUGUCUGGUGAAGAAAUUGAAUUAGAAAUCUGUACUGCCCUUACUUUCAGCACAAAUUCAGGAAGGGUGCCAGACUCCUAGACAAUGGGGAAAGAAUUAUUAAAGAUGCCCUUCUGAGGUAAAGAAAUAAAAAUCCAAAGUAACAUGCUAAAAUUCCACUUCAAGUUCUGUUCUCCCCCCCUCCAGCAUCCUCUGCAGUAUUUUGAAUUCUGCAGUGCAUCUCUGAUGUAAUCAGAGCUCCUGCAAGGAGUCCUGAUACUGCUCUGUGAUGCAGACAAUUCAAAGUUGUGCCUAGGUGAUAACAAGCAUGCAAGGAAGAUGCGUAACUCCCCCCUAGACUCUUCUGUCAAUUCCAGUGCCUGGAACUGAUCUCUGCUGCCUUUUACCAUUUGGAAAUUUAGCAAAAAAAAGUUUCAGUGCAGGGUGAAUGUGAAUACAGUGACUUGUCUGAAAGGAUUCUGUAAGAAACGGUCUUGCAGGUUAGUGAUCCUCCAUGCUUUACAGUUUCCUUAGUUAAAAUAGGCAGUGUUAAAUGCAGCUCUCUUCUGACACUUGAUUUCCAUCCUGUAUUGCCACUGUCAGAGUCCCCCCUGCAAUACUUCAAGCUAUACUCAUACGGUUCUCUAGGUAGUAACAACAAAUCUCAAACUUUAGCUCUGCUUGCAAAGUGAACCUCCAGCCAAAUCGAAGUAAAACUUACAGAGGUCAAUGUAUAGCAUAAACCAAAAUCAUCCUGAAAAACACAGAAUCUCAAAAAAAAAAUCACAUCUGCAUACUGCUCUCCUGGAUCUGGUCAGUGUUACGCUUUAGGGCAUCUUUUGACAUCCUACAAACUGAAUGAUGACAAACAUGUUACCCGGUGUUUUGCUUUAUACAGCUGAGCCUUAUUCUGCCGACAACAUUCAGAAGUGAAAUAACUUUGCUAGAUAACUUAUAUCCCCAGGAGAAUGUUUUGAAAUACAUUAUAGCUAAUAACUACGGUAGUUUGCUUACACUGAAAUAUAUUUUUAAGCAAUUUUAGCAAGUCACAUUGAAAACAGUCUUUUAAACAUCUUGCUAUAAAGUAAAGGAUUUGUCAUGUAUUUGCAUAUAUCCGUAUUUUGCCACUGAAAUGAAGGUAGUCAUUGAGCAGAUAUUUUACGAAUGCUUUCUCUGCCCCCCCAAAUCUUUUCCAAC